rnacentral:rRNA from 1 species
UACGUAGGGUGCGAGCGUUGUCCGGAAUUAUUGGGCGUAAAGGGCGCGUAGGCGGCCUUCUAAGUCGAACGUGAAAUCCCCGGGCUCAACCCGGGAACUGCGUCCGAUACUGGGAGGCUUGAAUCCGGGAGAGGGAUGCGGAAUUCCAGGUGUAGCGGUGAAAUGCGUAGAUAUCUGGAGGAACACCGGUGGCGAAGGCGGCAUCCUGGACCGGCAUUGACGCUGAGGCGCGAAAGCCAGGGGAGCAAACGGG